rnacentral:rRNA from 1 species
AUUGAACGCUGGCGGCAGGCCUAACACAUGCAAGUCGAGCGGAUGAAGGGAGCUUGCUCCUGGAUUCAGCGGCGGACGGGUGAGUAAUGCCUAGGAAUCUGCCUGGUAGUGGGGGAUAACGUCCGGAAACGGGCGCUAAUACCGCAUACGUCCUGAGGGGGAAAGGGGGGGAUCUUCGGACCUCAGGCUAUCAGAUGAGCCUAGGUCGGUUUAGCUAGUUGUUGGGGUAAAGGCCUACCAAGGCGACGAUCCGUAACUGGUCUGAGAGGAUGAUCAGUCACACUGGAACUGAGACACGGUCCAGACUCCUACGGGAGGCAGCAGUGGGGAAUAUUGGACAAUGGGCGAAAGCCUGAUCCAGCCAUGCCGCGUGUGUGAAGAAGGUCUUCGGAUUGUAAAGCACUUUAAGUUGGGAGGAAGGGCAGUAAGUUAAUACCUUGCUGUUUUGACGUUACCAACAGAAUAAGCACCGGCUAACUUCGUG